ACCCCUCACCAAAAAAAAAAAAAAAAAAAAAAACCCAACCGAAUAAGAAAAAUGGGGGAAUCUGAGAAUCGAAGCCACCUGGAAAAGACCUUGGAGCCGUUUUACCAAAGAGCUUCUGAAUCUGAGGAACGCUUGUCCAGACUAGAAGCUGCCCUUACAAAUAAGAAGGGUGCUAAAAAUGAGGACCAUUUGAAAUUGAUAAGUGAACUUCUGUCAAAGCUUGAAGAGGCUAAUGCAGAGCUGGUUUUAGAACGAGCAAAGGUUCUA